rnacentral:rRNA from 1 species
CCCUUAGAUGUCCGGGGCCGCACGCGCGCUACACUGAAGGAAUCAGCGUGGCUUUCUCCCUGACCCGAAAGGGUUGGGAAACCCGUUGAAUCUCCUUCGUGAUAGGGAUUGGGGCUUGAAAUUGUUCCCCAUGAACGAGGAAUUCCCAGUAAGCGCGAGUCAUAAGCUCGCGUUGAUUACGUCCCUGCCCUUUGUACACACCGCCCGUCGCUACUACCGAUUGAGCAAUCCGGUGAAUACUUCGGACCGGUUACUUGGUUGGUUCGCUAACCUUGUGACUGGAAAGUCGAGUGAACCUUAUUGCUUAGAGGAAGGAGAAGUCGUAACA